rnacentral:lncRNA from 1 species
GCUCAAGGAUCUCCAAUCCAUGACAAAAGGUUGAAUGAGUUUUUUAUGUUCAUUACAAGCUUGCUGUGACUAACCUUCACUGCAUGCCUUCUGGGAUUCGAGGAAUCCACCUACUUCCCUGUGCUCGGGUCACUGAAAGGCUCUGCCUAGAGCACAGGAUACUAGAAUCAUCACAGGUUUUGCAAAAUGUGGGAGGAGCAAGUGAGAUUGUCCUUACAUUAGCCAGAAGUGAAUUCUAUCUCACAUAGGGCAGUUGGCAGAGGCUACCACUGUGAUCCUCAGGCCCUAAGUGAGACUGAAGGUUUGACCCAGAACCCCGGGCCCAAUUCUACCCUCAGCCCAAGUUGUAUGGAUGUGAUAAUAGGUUCCAGGUAGAGGUGCCACCCAUGCUGUGUUGUCAGGACAGGGUCUUCUCUCUGGACCCACCUGAUGAGUGUCAGUUAUGCUGAGGACUGUGCUUUGUGGGACUCCUCUGCUGGGCUUGACAUGUACAUAGUCCUUUAUUCAUGUAAAAUCGUUUGAGCCUCUCAUUGGAAUUCUGACCUUGAUCUCACAUACAAAGCCCAACAAGACAAUCUGUGGGGCAAAAGAAACCAUGUUCUAGGAGCAACACCAUGGUGGUAGCCCGAGGCCCUAGUCCUCACUCUGCAUAGCAAAUAGUCUUUAAAACAAACAAACAAAAUGAACAUGGAAAAGACUGCUCCUGAGGUAGAGAAUAAAAGUCACCUCAUCGCCUAAAGGUAGAAUAGUAAUCAAAUAGUAAUCAAGGCCCAGCUCAUGUGAGACUUGAUCCUUACGGGUAGGGUCUUAAGCCACUCUAAGGGGUGUCAUAUAUAUACAAGAGUCAUCCUGUGAUUCAAGAGCACAGAAUGUGACAAGUGUUGCCAAAGCCCUGUAUGCACACUGCAGGACCCACCCAACAGGUCUGGAUAAAUUUAGGGAAUCUAAGUGCAAGCCUGACCCAGGUGGCCUCACUGGGGUUAAAGGGACCCUUAAAAGAGCAUAGGAGAUUUAUUUCUACAGCAAAACCCUGGUUCUUUGGAGGAAGACUUGGGGACACAGUACCCACCCAUACUGCUGCUUGGUAGGCUCUGGCAUCAACAUUUACUCAAAACUGAACUCCACAUACUGGCUGCAGCCACCUUACCCUGGUUCCUCCCAGGUUUCCUGAGCCAAGCACAGGGGUCAGUAGAAUACACUGCAGAUAGCAUGUCCUUAUGCAGCUGCUCCUGAAUCAUGGGUCCUGCCACUACCAUGUGUUAGUGUGAACACUAGGUAUGUUGUAAGGAAGCUCACAGCCAAGUCUUCACUUCCAGACUUCAAGGAAUGAAAGAGCUGACCAUUUGCCAGUCUACACAAGAGCAGCAAAACAGUCCUCUGCGGGAUGCUGAGCAGCAGAUAGUUAGGACAGGCAUCCUUCAGAGAAGGGAAGAAGGGAAUACCACAAACCUUGGCUCACUGCCCUGUGCAUAUUGGAGAGGUCAAGGGCAGAACCUGACAAGAGAGAAUUCUAACGAGGGCAACAGAAACUCGCUUAGAUCCUCCAAAAUGUUUCUAAGUAAAGAUCUGUAUGUGUGAUAUGAAACCUUCAAACUCUGGCAAAAAAGAGAGAGAGAGAGAAGAGAAAGUGGACAUUGAAAGCUAAACAGCUUAUAGAGAACACAAACCUCAAUAUGUGGGUUGGCAUGAAAGGAUUUUCUAAGGGAGUGUCUCACUGUACAGCCCAGCCUAGCCUAGUGAUCCUCCUGCCUUAGCCCCCCCAUGUGCUGUGAUUAUAGGCACACAGUAUCAUGCCUGUCUUAAAACUUGUGUUUGUUUGUUUGUUUGUUUGUUUGUUUGUUUUAUUGCUAAGGUUAAAACAAUACUAAUACAUGAUAAGGUUUAGGGCACUUUAUAUGCCCCAGUACAGGGGAAUGCCAGGGCCAAGAAGCGGGAGUGGGUGGGUAGGGGAGCAUGGUUGGGGGAGGGUAUAAGAAACUUUCGGGAUAGCAUUUGAAAUGUAUAU